rnacentral:rRNA from 1 species
AGUGAACGCUGGCGGUAGGCCUAACACAUGCAAGUCGAACGGCAGCACAAUAAGAGCUUGCUCUUACGGGUGGCGAGUGGCGGACGGGUGAGGAAUACAUCGGAAUCUACUUUUUCGUGGGGGAUAACGUAGGGAAACUUACGCUAAUACCGCAUACGACCUACGGGUGAAAGCAGGGGAUCUUCGGACCUUGCGCGAUUGAAUGAGCCGAUGUCGGAUUAGCUAGUUGGCGGGGUAAAGGCCCACCAAGGCGACGAUCCGUAGCUGGUCUGAGAGGAUGAUCAGCCACACUGGAACUGAGACAUGGUCCAGACUCCUACGGGAGGCAGCAGUGGGGAAUAUUGGACAAUGGGCGCAAGCCUGAUCCAGCCAUACCGCGUGGGUGAAGAAGGCCUUCGGGUUGUAAAGCCCUUUUGUUGGGAAAGAAAAGCAGCAGGUUAAUACCCCGCUGUUCUGACGGUACCCAAAGAAUAAGCACCGGCUAACUUCGUG